AAGCCACGGGACAACAACUAAAGUCUGAAGACAUCGGCCAGGAAGACUGAGACCUGUCAAUCACGUGUGAGUUAAGAAGCUGAACUUUACCCAGCCAUCAGAAGCUUGGAAGAUACUCUUGAGUCCAGGGGCCAACACGAGGGGAACCAAGACCACCUUACACCAGCAGCUACAAAUAGCAACUACCAUUUCCAGCUUGAUCCAAGCGAAGGCGGGCAGCAGGUGCCUGGAAGGGGCCAGUCCUUUUCCAGAAGCUUCCAUCUGUCGCAAGCCAAGUGACUGCACACAGCUAGUGGGCCAAAGCCAAUAAAUACUAACAUGAGACACA